CUCCAGUCUCAGGGAAUCCAUUACCUUCUCCUGGCCUCCGUGGGCACCAGGCAUGUGUAGGGUAUAUGAACAGACAUUCAGACAAAAUACGCAAACACAUAGAAAUAAAACUAAGUUUUCAAAAAAUAUUUAGUUUCUAAUCAACACUGUUAAGAGGUGGGACCUUGAAGAGGAAACUAAGUCUUCUAAUGGAUGGAGUACAGGAGUCCUUAUGAAAGAGUAGUUUGGACUCAUCUUCCCCGCUGACCCCCCUCCCCCCAGUGUUAUGAUAAGAGAGCUCUUACUGGAUGCUACACCUUCUUGGAUUUCUUGGUCUCUGGAUCACAAUACACUUCUAUUCACUGUGCUACAAAGUUUCAGAUAUUUUGUUGCACAGAACAAAUUUAGAGUGUCUAUUAUCCCUGACCCACCCACACCCCAUGACUUUUCACC
rnacentral:lncRNA from 1 species